GCUUGGUUGGCUGAGUGGUUUAAAGCAACAGUCUUGAAAACUGUCGAUGGCAAUACAUCCAUCCGUUCGAAUCGGAUACCAAGCGCCA
rnacentral:tRNA from 1 species